rnacentral:rRNA from 1 species
AACGAACGCUGGCGGCAGGCUUAACACAUGCAAGUCGAACGGAUCCUUCGGGAUUAGUGGCAGACGGGUGAGUAACGCGUGGGAACGUACCCUUUGCUACGGAAUAACUCAGGGAAACUUGAGCUAAUACCGUAUGUGCCCUACGGGGGAAAGAUUUAUCGGCAAAGGAUCGGCCCGCGUUGGAUUAGCUAGUUGGUGGGGUAAUGGCCUACCAAGGCGACGAUCCAUAGCUGGUCUGAGAGGAUGAUCAGCCACACUGGGACUGAGACACGGCCCAGACUCCUACGGGAGGCAGCAGUGGGGAAUAUUGGACAAUGGGGGCAAGCCUGAUCCAGCCAUGCCGCGUGAGUGAUGAAGGUCUUAGGAUUGUAAAGCUCUUUCACCGGUGAAGAUAAUGACGGUAGCCGGAGAAGAAGCCCCGGCUAACUUCGUG